rnacentral:tRNA from 1 species
GGGCGGUUACCCAAGUGGCCAAAGGGGACUGACUGUAAAUCAGUUGUCAGUAGACUUCGGAGGUUCGAAUCCUUCACCGCCCA